UACGGAGGGGGCUAGCGUUGUUCGGAAUUACUGGGCGUAAAGAGCGCGCAGGCGGUCGUUCAAGUCGCGUGUGAAAGCCCCCGGCUCAACUGGGGAGGGUCACGCGAUACUGAUCGACUCGAAGGCAGGAGAGGGUAGUGGAAUUCCCGGUGUAGUGGUGAAAUGCGUAGAUAUCGGGAGGAAGACCAGUGGCGAAGGCGGGUCUCUGGACAGUUCCUGACACUGAGACACGAAGGCCAGGGGAGCAAACGGG
rnacentral:rRNA from 1 species